rnacentral:rRNA from 1 species
AUUGAACGCUGGCGGCAGGCCUAACACAUGCAAGUCGAACGGUAACAGGAAGAAGCUUGCUUCUUUGCUGACGAGUGGCGGACGGGUGAGUAAUGUCUGGGAAACUGCCUGAUGGAGGGGGAUAACUACUGGAAACGGUAGCUAAUACCGCAUAACGUCGCAAGACCAAAGAGGGGGACCUUCGGGCCUUUUGCCAUCGGAUGUGCCCAGAUGGGAUUAGCUAGUAGGUGGGGUAACGGCUCACCUAGGCGACGAUCCCUAGCUGGUCUGAGAGGAUGACCAGCCACACUGGAACUGAGACACGGUCCAGACUCCGACGGGAGGCAGCAGUGGGGAAUAUUGCACAAUGGGCGCAAGCCUGAUGCAGCCAUGCCGCGUGUAUGAAGAAGGCCUUCGGGUUGUAAAGUACUUUCAGCGGGGAGGAAGGGAGUAAAGUUAAUACCUUUGCUCAUUGACGUUACCCGCAGAAGAAGCACCGGCUAACUCCGU